rnacentral:rRNA from 1 species
GAUGAACGCUAGCUACAGGCUUAACACAUGCAAGUCGAGGGGUAGCAGGGUAGCAAUACCGCUGACGACCGGCGCACGGGUGAGUAACACGUAUCCAACCUACCGUUUACUCGGGGAUAGCCUUUCGAAAGAAAGAUUAAUACCCGAUAGUAUAAAGAGUUCGCAUGUUCUCUUUAUUAAAGGAUUCCGGUAAAUGAUGGGGAUGCGUUCCAUUAGAUUGUUGGCGGGGUAACGGCCCACCAAGUCUUCGAUGGAUAGGGGUUCUGAGAGGAAGGUCCCCCACAUUGGAACUGAGACACGGUCCAAACUCCUACGGGAGGCAGCAGUGAGGAAUAUUGGUCAAUGGGCGUUAGCCUGAACCAGCCAAGUAGCGUGAAGGAUGACUGCCCUAUGGGUUGUAAACUUCUUUUAUAAGGGAAUAAAACGGGGAACGUGUUCCCCUUUGCAUGUACCUUACGAAUAAGGAUCGGCUAACUCCGUGCCAGCAGCCGCGGUAA